UACGAAGGGGGGCGAGCGUUGUUCGGAUUUACUGGGCGUAAAGGGCGCGCAGGCGGCAGACCAAGUCAGGCGUGAAAGCCCCGGGCUUAACCUGGGAGGUGCGUCUGGGACUGGUAUGCUAGAGUUCGGGAGAGGAGAGUGGAAUUCCCAGUGUAGAGGUGAAAUUCGUAGAUAUUGGGAAGAACACCAGUGGCGAAGGCGGCCACCUAGCCCGCACCUGACGCUGAGGCGCGACAGCGUGGGGAGCGAACUGG
rnacentral:rRNA from 1 species